rnacentral:snRNA from 1 species
AUAUUCACCUAGGUAACACAUGUACUAAAAUUGUAAUGAUACAGAGAAACUUAGCAUAGCCCCUGUACAAGGAUGACACACAAAUUUGCAAAGCACUGUAUAUUUUA